rnacentral:rRNA from 1 species
GACGAACGCUGGCGGCGUGCUUAACACAUGCAAGUGGAGCGACGAACCAGGGCUUGCCCUGGGCAAAGCCGCGAACGGGUGAGUAACACGUGGGUAACCUGCCCCGAUGAUCGGGACAACCCGGGGAAACCCGGGCUAAUACCGAAUGUGCUCGCGAGCCGCAAGGCUCACGUGGAAAGGAAGCUUCGGCCUCCGCAUCGGGAUGGGCCCGCGGCCCAUUAGCUUGUUGGUGAGGUAACGGCUCACCAAGGCCGCGAUGGGUAGCUGGUCUGAGAGGACGAUCAGCCACACUGGGACUGAGACACGGCCCAGACUCCUACGGGAGGCAGCAGUGGGGAAUCUUGCGCAAUGCGCGAAAGCGUGACGCAGCAACGCCGCGU